rnacentral:rRNA from 1 species
AUUGAACGCUGGCGGCAGGCCUAACACAUGCAAGUCGAACGAGUGGCGGACGGGUGAGUAAUGUCUGGGAAACUGCCUGAUGGAGGGGGAUAACUACUGGAAACGGUAGCUAAUACCGCAUACCAUACGAUUUGUCCAGAUGGGAUUAGCUUGUUGGUGGGGUAACGGCUCACCAAGGCGACGAUCCUGAGCUGGUCUGAGAGGAGGACCAGCCAAACUAGAACUGAGAAACGGUCCAGACUCCUACGGGAGGCAGCAGUGGGGAAUAUUGCACAAUGGGCGCAAGCCUGAUGCAGCCAUGCGGCGUGGAUGAAGAAGGCCUUCGGGUGGUAAAGUACUUUCAGCGGGGAGGCGUUACCCGCAGAAGAAGCACCGGCUAACUCCGUGCCAGCAGCCGCGGUAAUUC